ACAAAGGCCCUUUUAAGGGCCACCCAAGUGUUCUUUGUAGAGGGCAG
rfam:Scleropages formosus scaffold287, whole genome shotgun sequence.